rnacentral:rRNA from 1 species
GGGGCCUUCCGUAGGGGGACGGAAGGAUCAUUA